rnacentral:ncRNA from 1 species
CUCUACAACUUGUCACCCAUAAACUGAUGGCCAAACUGAAGUAGUGAAUAGAACUUUGUCUGCAUUGCUUAGAUCAUUGGUUAAGAAAAACCUUAAGCAUUGGGAAGAAUGUUUGCCUCAUGUUGAGUUUGCUUGUAACAAUGCUAUGCAUUCUGCUACUAAGUUCUCUCCUUUUGAAGUCGUUUAUGGCUUUAAUCCCUUAUCUCCACUUGAUCUUUUGCCUUUGCCUUUGAGUGAAAGAGUUAGAACAGAUGGCAAAAGGAAAGCAGACACUAUCAAGAAGUUACAUGAGCAGGUUCACUCAAACAUUGCAGCCAAAACCGAAGGGUACAAAAGAUAUGCCAACAGGAAGAGAAAGGAGGUCAUCUUUGAGGAGGGUGAUCUUAUUUGGGUUCACUUGAGGAAGGAACGGUUUCCAGAAGAAAGAAAGUCUAAACUUAUGCCUCGGGUCGAUGGUCCAUUUCAGAUCCUUAGAAAGAUCAAUGACAAUGCCUAUCAACUUGAUUUGCAAGGUAAGUAUGAUAUUUCUUCAUGCUUUAAUGUGUCUGAUCUUUCUCCUUUUCUUGUAGAUGAUCCAGAUUUGUGGACAAAUGCUUUUGAAGAAGGAGGGAAUGAUGUGCCCCAGUCUAUGGGCCAGACCAAUCAGAACGUUCCAGACGUCCCAGCUGAGGUUCAUCCUACCAAUCAGAUCAGACAGAUCCAAAGGGCCGUCUAUCGGCUCGACCCGUGAACGUCCGGAUUGGAGCUUCGUCCAGAUCCUCGACCAGAUGCUCAAACUGACCGAAAUGAUGCCCAUCCCUCCUGGCCAACUCGACAAGCCAAGACUGAUGGCCAAGCUAGACUUGACUUGGAUCAUGCCAGACUUGAGAAGGAUCAUGCCAGACUUGAGAAUGAUCAUGCCAGACUUGAGAAAGAUCAUGCCAGACUUGACUUGGAUCAUGAGGUUUCACACAAUGAUCGAGACUUCUCUCUUUUAGCUCGAUUGGCUCGUACCGCAUGUACCGACGACCGUGCUGAUGAUCUCUCUACCUUGUUUGUCCGAUCAUGGACUUUUCCUUUGGAAAUAUCUCUAAGGCAAGGAUCCUUAAGCUAUCAAAAGGGUAAAAGCUCAUUUGAUUCUGAUUUUCAGUACGAAUACGAACCACGAAAGAGUGGCCUAUCGAUCCUUUAGACCUUCGGAAUUUGUGGCAGCCAAGCAUUCAUAGCGACGUUGCUUUUUGAUCCUUCGAUAUCGGCUCUUCCUAUCAUUGUGAAGCAGAAUUCACCAAGUGUUGGAUUGUUCACCCACCAAUAGGGAACGUGAGCUGGGUUUAGACCGUCGUGAGACAGGUUAGGUUUACCCUACUUAUGCCUGCGUCGCAAUACUAAUUCAACCUAGAACGAGAGGAACUGUUGAUUCGCACAAUUGGUCAUCGCACUUGGUUGAAAAGCCAGUGGCGCAAAGCUACCGUGCGCUGGAUUAUGACUGAACGCCUCUAAGUCAGAAUCUGGGCUAGAAGCGACGCAUGCACCCGCCGCCCGAUUGCCGACCCUU